CGGACGGGUGAGUAACACGUGGAUAACCUACCUAUAAGACUGGGAUAACUUCGGGAAACCGGAGCUAAUACCGGAUAAUAUAUUGAACCGCAUGGUUCAAUGGUGAAAGACNGUUUUGCUGUCACUUAUAGAUGGAUCCGCGCCGCAUUAGCUAGUUGGUAAGGUAACGGCUUACCAAGGCAACGAUGCGUAGCCGACCUGAGAGGGUGAUCGGCCACACUGGAACUGAGACACGGUCCAGACUCCUACGGGAGGCAGCAGGU
rnacentral:rRNA from 1 species